GUAGGUGGCAAGCGUUGUCCGGGAAUUAUUGGGGCGUAAAGCGCGCGCAGGCGGUUCUUUAAGUCUGAUGUGAAAGCCCACGGGCUCAACCGUGGGAGGGUCAUUGGAAACUGGAGAACUUGAGUACAGAAGAGGAAAGCGGAAUUCCACGUGUAGCGGUGAAAUGCGUAGAGAUGUGGAGGAACACCAGUGGCGAAGGCGGCUUUCUGGUCUGUAACUGACGCUGAGGCGCGAAAGCGUGGGGAGCAAACAGGAUUAGAUACCCUGGUAGUCCACGCCGUAAACGAUGAGUGCUAAGUGUUAGAGGGUUUCCGCCCCUUAGUGCUGCAGCUAACGCAUUAAGCACUCCGCCUGGGGAGUACGGCCGCAAAGGCUGA
rnacentral:rRNA from 1 species